rnacentral:rRNA from 1 species
AUUGAACGCUAGCGGGAUGCCUUACACAUGCAAGUCGAACGGAGUGGCGAACGGGUGAGUAAUGUAUCGGAACGUGCCCAGUAGCGGGGGAUAACUACGCGAAAGCGUAGCUAAUACCGCAUACUAUUGGAGCGGCCGAUAUCGGAUUAGCUAGGUGGUGGGGUAACGGCACACAAAGGCGACGCUCCGUAGCUGGUUUGAGAGGACGACCAGCCACACUGGGACUGAGACACGGCCCAGAAUCCUACGUGAGGCAGCAGUGGGGAAUUGUGUACAAUGGGGGAAACCCUGAUGCAGCCAUCCCGCGUGUGCGAUGAAGGCCUUCGGGUUGUAAAGCACUUUUGGCAGGAAAGCGGUACCUGCAGAAUAAGCACCGGCUAACUACGUGCCAGCAGCCGCGGUAAUUC